rnacentral:rRNA from 1 species
GAAGAAGAAUGAUAUUGACUGCACCGGUUCGGUUCUCGUCCGAUCACCGACGUUAAGCAACGUCGAGCCUAGUGAGUACGUAGAUGGGUGACAACUGGGGAAACCUAGGGUCUGUA